GUCGUUUUUAAUAGCUAACAAAUGAUUAGUGGGUCGACUAGAUUAUUCGCGUCCCGCUUUUCCCGUCUUUUGCCUUCCGCUCCUGGAGGAUCCAGAUUCGAUUCUCGGUCCUACUCCUUAAAAAUUUAUUGGUGGGAGCCGGGGCCGCCUCCAUCCUUGUCCUCCACCAAUGCCUCCACUUGGGCAGCCGGUGGCGGGAUCAAGGCCAGGACACGCUCCGUCCUUAAGUGCGAAUUAUGUUCUUAAGUGGGAAGUGACGUCAUCUGUUGACAAAAAAUGAUUACUGGUUUUUUCACUCUCGG
rnacentral:lncRNA from 1 species